GGGAGUCGACUCUUGCUGUCUUUGGAGUCGACCUGCCAACCAUCGGAGUCGACUCGCGUUCCACUGGAGUCGACUUGAAUCUCAGACCCGAAAACUGCUCUCUGACUUUUUCUUUGUAUUCCUCUUGGAGUCGACUCUUACUACCCUAGAGUCGACUCGGUGAACCUCGGAGUCGACUCGCACACUUUGGGAGUCGACUCGUUG
rnacentral:lncRNA from 1 species